GAGUUUGAUCAUGGCUCAGGACGAACGCUGGCGGCGUGCCUAAUACAUGCAAGUCGAGCGGAGCACUUCGGUGCUUAGCGGCGGACGGGUGAGUAACACGUAGGCAACCUGCCUGUAAGACUGGGAUAACUAUCGGAAACGAUAGCUAAGACCGGAUAACUGGUUUUCUCGCAUGGGAGAAUCAUGAAACACGGAGCAAUCUGUGGCUUACAGAUGGGCCUGCGGCGCAUUAGCUAGUUGGUGAGGUAACGGCUCACCAAGGCGACGAUGCGUAGCCGACCUGAGAGGGUGAACGGCCACACUGGGACUGAGACACGGCCCAGACUCCUACGGGAGGCAGCAGUAGGGAAUCUUCCGCAAUGGACGCAAGUCUGACGGAGCAACGCCGCGUGAGUGAUGAAGGUUUUCGGAUCGUAAAGCUCUGUUGCCCUAGACGAACAGCAUCAGGAGUAACUGCCUGGUGUGUGACGGUAUAGGAGAAGAAAGCCCCGGCUAACUAC
rnacentral:rRNA from 1 species